rnacentral:tRNA from 1 species
GGGUGAGUGGUGAAAUUGGUAUACACGCUAGGUUUAGGACCUAGUGCUCGAAAGAGCGUGGAGGUUCGAUUCCUCUCUCACCCA